GAUGAACGCUGGCGGCGUGCCUAAUACAUGCAAGUCGAGCGAACAGACGAGGAGCUUGCUCCUCUGACGUUAGCGGCGGACGGGUGAGUAACACGUGGAUCACCUACCUAUAAUACUGGGAUAAUUUCGGGAAACCGGAGCUAAUACCGGAUAAUAUAUUGAACCGCAUGGUUCAAUAGUGAAAUACGGUUUUGCUGUCACUUAUAGAUGGAUCCGCGCCGCAUUAGCUAGUUGGUAAGGUAACGGCUUACCAAGGCAACGAUGCGUAGCCGACCGGACAGGGGGAUCGGCCGCCCUGGAACGGAGACACGGACAAGACUCCUAAGGGAGGCACCAGAAGGGAAUCGUACGCAAUGGUCGAAAGCCUGACGGAGCAACGGCGCGUGAGAUGUGAAGAUCUUCGGAUCGUAAAACUCUGUUAUUAGGGAAAAACAAAUGUGUACGUAAAUAUGCACGUCUUGACGGUACCUAAUCAGAAAGCCACGGCUAACUACGUG
rnacentral:rRNA from 1 species